rnacentral:rRNA from 1 species
UAGGGAAUCUUCCACAAUGGACGCAAGUCUGAUGGAGCAACGCCGCGUGAGUGAAGAAGGUUUUCGGAUCGUAAAGCUCUGUUGUUGGUGAAGAAGGAUAGAGGCAGUAACUGGUCUUUAUUUGACGGUAAUCAACCAGAAAGUCACGGNUAACUACGUGCCAG